rnacentral:lncRNA from 1 species
GGUUUACAGGUUUGUGAUUCUGUAUAUUCCUUUUCUCUCUCUGUUUUUUUUAUUUUUGAUUUUAUCUAAUUUUUUGUUCGUUCAUGUUUUAUUUCCAGAAAUUUAACGGUUGAUUUUUGAAAUAACAGAACGAGAGAUUGAGAUUGGUUUUAAACGAUCAAAGGAAGCAACAGCUGGCAUUGAUCUGGAGAAAAUACGAAGCAAAAGUUCAAUUUCUGCUAAAACAUAAGAGAUUGAGAUUGGUAUUAAACGAGCAAAGGAAACAACAGCUGGCAUUGAUCUGGAGAAAAUACGAAGAAAAUGUUCAAUUUCUGCUAAAACAGAAAGACGAAGAAAUCGCUAAAGC